CUUUCCCCUAACCCCCAGGUUUACAGGUUCAAGAUAGACCGGGAAGUCGUCAAGGUUGAAGGUUGUUUUAAUUGUAAUAGAUUAGUAGUGGACAUGAAAUGUAAAAUGGUAUAUUGUAAUGUAAUGUAAAGAAUGUUUCAUGGUUUAGUAUUGUGCUUGGCCCUAAUUGUAGUGGUGAUCCCCUUUUGUACAUGAUCUUAUGUUAAUGUCCUAAUGAUGAGUUAUGUUGAACCAGGCUUGACUUAUGUAAUGUUGAUCCAACU
rnacentral:lncRNA from 1 species